rnacentral:pre_miRNA from 1 species
CAGGCACAGGCCUCAGGGAGCAGAGUCAGGGCACCUCCACCAUGGUCUGAAUUCCUCUCCUCCUCGGCCUCCUUGCUCACCGCACAAGUGC